rnacentral:rRNA from 1 species
AAAUUGAAGAGUUUGAUCAUGGCUCAGAUUGAACGCUGGCGGCAGGCCUAACACAUGCAAGUCGAGCGGUAGCACAGAGAGCUUGCUCUCGGGUGACGAGCGGCGGACGGGUGAGUAAUGUCUGGGAAACUGCCUGAUGGAGGGGGAUAACUACUGGAAACGGUAGCUAAUACCGCAUAAUGUCGCAAGACCAAAGUGGGGGACCUUCGGGCCUCAUGCCAUCAGAUGUGCCCAGAUGGGAUUAGCUAGUAGGUGGGGUAAUGGCUCACCUAGGCGACGAUCCCUAGCUGGUCUGAGAGGAUGACCAGCCACACUGGAACUGAGACACGGUCCAGACUCCUACGGGAGGCAGCAGUGGGGAAUAUUGCACAAUGGGCGCAAGCCUGAUGCAGCCAUGCCGCGUGUGUGAAGAAGGCCUUCGGGUUGUAAAGCACUUUCAGCGGGGAGGAAGGCGGUGAGG